AUUGAACGCUGGCGGCAUGCCUUACACAUGCAAGUCGAACGGCAGCACGGGUGCUUGCAUCUGGUGGCGAGUGGCGCACGGGUGAGUAAUACAUCGGAACAUGUCCUGUAGUGGGGGAUAGCCCGGCGAAAGCCGGAUUAAUACCGCCUACGAUCUACGGAUGAAAGCGGGGGACCUUCGGGCCUCGCGCUAUAGGGUUGGCCGAUGGCUGAUUAGCUAGUUGUUGGGGUAAAGGCCUACCAAGGCGACGAUCAGUAGCUGGUCUGAGAGGACGACCAGCCACACUGGGACUGAGACACGGCCCAGACUCCUACGGGAGGCAGCAGUGGGGAAUUUUGGACAAUGGGCGAAAGCCUGAUGCAGCAAUGCCGCGUGUGUGAAGAAGGCCUUCGGGUUGUAAAGCACUUUUGUCAGGAAAGAAAACCUUGGCCCUAAUACGGGCGGGGGAUGACGGUACCGGAAGAAUAAGCACCGGCUAACUACGUG
rnacentral:rRNA from 1 species